rnacentral:rRNA from 1 species
ACUCCGUCAGUGGCGGACGGGUGAGUAACGCGUAGGAAUCUAUCCUUGAAUGGGGGACAACCGUGGGAAACUACGGCUAAUAACCGCAUGAUGCCUGAGGGCCAAAGACGAAAGUCGUUUGAGGAGGAGCCUGCGUCUGAUUAGGUAGUUGGUGGGUAAAGGCCGUACCAAGCCUACGAUCAGUAGCUGGUCUGAGAGGAUGAUCAGCCACAUUGGGACUGAGACACGGCCCAAACUCCUACGGGAGGCAGCAGUGGGGAAUAUUGGACAAUGGGGCGCAAGCCUGAUCCAGCAAUGCCGCGUGGUGAAGAAGGUCUUCGGAAUUGUAAAGUCCGUUUUGGCGGGGACGAUUAUGACGGUACCGGAAGAAGAAGCCCCGGCUAACUUCGUG